rnacentral:misc_RNA from 1 species
UCUUUUUUCCCUCGAAGGCUCCUCAUACUUAAUCAACACUAUUUUCCAUAGAAUAGCUGACCAUCAUGUACACACCAACUGAAGGCGAUUUGGUGAGUGUGAUUCAGCUGCUUCACAAUAAUGGCGUGGAGGUGUCGAAUUCAAAGGCGGCAUACGCUCAGCUCAAGCAGUACGAGUCAAACCCUGCCUUUUGUAUUCUGCUUUCCACUGUUUUCGGAGCAGAUACAAAUCCUGUGGCGGAUAUGGUGCUCCCGGUUUCGUGGGCUCAGUAUCGACAACUCGCUGGAAUCACGCUAAAAAACAAUUUGGCAUCUGCCCGUCAUGCCCUUGGCGAAGGCGCGGUGAAGGAAGCUGCGCGUUUUGCACUGAAGUCGCUUACUAAUCCGCCAGACACUCGAAUAGCCCGCACUUCGGCGCAAGUGGUUGUAAAGGUAACGGCGUUGACAUCGCUUGAAUGGUGGGUAGGCUCGGGGGUCGGUGAUCUUCCAAGCAUUUUGCUUAACGAUCUGCUUCCAGGCGGGGAAUUGAAGACUCUCGCCGCACUGUACUGCCUUCAGUACCUGGUGGAGGAUGUGCCCAAGCAAAUCGGCGAAUCUAGCGAGCACGUUAUUCUGCGAGUUUCACAGCUUGCCGCUUCCCAGAAUGACCCGAUGACGAUAAGAAAAGCUGCCUUUCGAAUGUGUUUCAACAUUUACGAGCAAGCGUCACUCCUUGACUGGAAUGUCGACACACUUUCGCCGCUACAGAUGGGCCUGUCAAAAGCCAGCCACAGCUUGUCAAGCGUUUGCACAUCCCUGCUGGAGUGUUCGUGUGGUGAGGAUUCGGCGUUUGUGAUUCUCGUUUUGCGUACCUGCUCAUUUCUGCUGGACUACUUUGACUUUUUCGGUCAGAUGAGUCCGAACGAAAUGCAGAGGUAUACAAACUGGUGGAUCACUAAUUCUGCUCAAAUUAUUUGCAGUAGACAGAAUAGCAUCAGUGGAAAUCAAGAACUGGUCGCCGCAGCGAUCGAUUUGAUAUCCACCACCGUGGAUUUGUAUGAUCGCAACGGUGGGGAAACGGCUGUUGCUUUCCUCGUUUCUGGUGUGCCACAGCUAAUUUUCUCCUUAGCUCCAGCCCUUGUGCGAUACGCGUUACUGUCGUCAGAGGAGGUGGCAAACAUCAUGGACACAGACGACUACCGUGUUCGAGAUAGCACAGCUGUCAGUUUUGAAGUGAAGGGGGGAACAAAGGAUAUUUCGGAGGACGACAUGCUGGACGAUGAUGCAGCGGCUAUGACGCUACGAAGCUCUGCUUUGAAAUUAGUAGAUGUGCUCAGCACGUUCUCAAGUGAUGCAACAUAUCAGGCUUUUAUCGGUCCCAUUCAGCAGUUGUGGAGCAGCAGUGAAUGGCGCGAGAGGGAGGCCGGUAUUGUCCUUGUUGGCACGAUCGCCAACGGAUGCGCUCAUGAGCUGCGCGCAGUGCUCGACUCUUUAGUGGAUCAAUUUCUUCAGUUUAUCAGCAAUCAGUCUGAGCAUGUCUGUGUUGUGAGCAUUGCUAUGUGGUCUCUGUCGCGGAUAAGUGAGACUGUCCUGAAUUCGUCCCCUCGCACGAUGGAUACGAUUAUUCCACUCCUUGCCUCGAGAUUGCAGAGCACAAGCAAGCGGAUUCAGAUAACGAGCGUCAGUGCAUUAAAUGUGAUUUACGGGGUGUUGGAGAACUAUGGAAGCACAGCUGUGGUCAUGCCUCACUUGCCAUUGUUGCUAGAGUCGGCCUGCGCGUGCCUGCCGGUGUAUUCGACCACUAAUCUCUCCCUUUUGGUCGAUUUUCUGAACAAGCUCAUUAGCCUUCUCAAUGACCAGACAACAGCUGAGAGGCUCUCUUCUGUACUUCAGGUUGAGAGGGCGAACCGCGCAUCAUUGUUCGAGCAGUCUUACACGGCAAUGUACAUUCGAGAGGAACCGAAUGUUCUGCUAGACAAGGACAUUUUCUCGCUGGACCGUGCAAUGAUUGCUUUCAUCUCUGUCUAUCCUAGUAACGAGGUGGCGGUUGCGAAUUUGAGCACGUGGAACGGCGUGCUUGCAGACAUCAAAAACCGGAACGUCACGGAUGACGCGGACCUUGUUUUCAAUACACUGCUCAUCUGCAGCGCAUACACCAAUUCAGUCUCUACGACGAUUCUUGAGGAGUGGCUGAGGUCAACAUCGUGGGCUUUGCCGGUUUCUGCUGCUCAUUUCCUGACGACCUCGCGAAUACACGAAGUGAAGGUAGCUGGGAUCACAAUUCUAUGUGGGCUCCUUCGCGCUGUUGGGUCGGGUGCACUGCCUGCCGGCCUCCAUGACACUCUCAUGAGGUGGGCCACCAGCGAAGUAUCUGAGGCCGAGGAUCCGCAAUUCAAGGAGCAUCUUGUGCGGCUCAUUGGGCAGGCCACAGCGUGCUACCCCGGCCAGCUGUCUACGGUUGCGACGGAGGCUUUGAAGUCUGCAAACGCUGCGCUGCGAAGUGACGUCUUUGGGGACUCCUCUUACUACUUUUCGGCUAUGGCUUUUGAUCUCUGUGGCGCACUGGGCGCGGUUCCAAGCUACGCGGCCUUGUUUCGCAUCGAUACAAUGUCACAGCUCAUGGCGCAGGCGGAGAACACAGUUGACAAAUCGGAGGCUACCAUUCAUCUCUUCCAAGCACUGGUCCAACUGCCGGCAGACGUUUUUUCAGGUGUCUUUUCUUCUGCCAUCAAGAUCGUGUACAGCUGGCAGCAGGCUGCAGUAAACUACCCUGGAACGAAGGAGGCCAUUCAGUCUUUUCUCUUUCAUGCCGGCAAGACGUGCCCUGGAAUUUUUCAGUCGAUUCUCGAGGGUCUUCCUGCGGCUUUCCGAAACAUGCUCGUAUCCUUUUAUCAGCUGCAGUAAACACAAAAAGAAAGCAGGCUGGGCUUCUUGUUUGUGUAAAUAAAACAUUUUUCUCUUAUGCCGCUCAGAAGCUACCGCAUCAGUGUUAUCAAAAUGGCUCACAUGUUUUUUUGUUUGAAGCGAUUCUAUCGUCGGUCU